rnacentral:rRNA from 1 species
GUGCAGCAGGCGAGAAUCCUCCGCAAUGCUCGAAAGAGCGACGGGGGACUCCAAGUGCCUACGCUUUGCGUAGGCUUUUCCCAAGCCUAAAAAGCUUGGGGAAUAAGGGCUGGGUAAGACGGGUGCCAGCCGCCGCGGUAAUACCCGCAGCCCGAGUGGUGGCCGCUUUUAUUGGGCCUAAAGCGUCCGUAGCCGGUCUGGUAAAUGCCUGGGUAAAUCGUCUGGCUCAACCAGACGAAUUCCGGGUAGACUGCCAGACUAGGGACCGGAGGAAGGAGAGGGUACUCCGGGGGUAGGGGUGAGAUCCUGUAAUCCUCGGAGGACCACCGGUGGCGAAGGCGCUCUCCUAGGACGGGUCCGACGGUGAGGGACGAAAGCCAGGGGAGCAAACCGGAUUAGAUACCCCCGUAGU